ACGUAGGGGGCAAGCGUUGUUCGGAAUUACUGGGCGUAAAGGGCAUGUAGGCGGCUUAGUAAGUUUGGCGUGAAAGACCACGGCUUAACUGGGGGACUGCGUUGGGUACUGCUGAACUUGAGUUACGGAGAGGGAGGUAGAAUUCCUGGUGUAGGGGUGAAAUGCGUAGAGAUCAGGAAGAAUACCGAAGGCGAAGGCAAUCUUCUGGCCGGUAACUGACGCUGAGGUGCGAAAGUGUGGGGAGCAAACAG
rnacentral:rRNA from 1 species